GACGAACGCUGGCGGCGUGCUUAACACAUGCAAGUCGAGCGAUGAAGUUCCUUCGGGAAUGGAUUAGCGGCGGACGGGUGAGUAACACGUGGGUAACCUGCCUCAUAGAGGGGAAUAGCCUUUCGAAAGGAAGAUUAAUACCGCAUAAGAUUGUAGUACCGCAUGGUACAGCAAUUAAAGGAGUAAUCCGCUAUGAGAUGGACCCGCGUCGCAUUAGCUAGUUGGUGAGGUAACGGCCCACCAAGGCGACGAUGCGUAGCCGACCUGAGAGGGUGAUCGGCCACAUUGGGACUGAGACACGGCCCAGACUCCUACGGGAGGCAGCAGUGGGGAAUAUUGCACAAUGGGGGAAACCCUGAUGCAGCAACGCCGCGUGAGUGAUGACGGUCUUCGGAUUGUAAAGCUCUGUCUUCAGGGACGAUAAUGACGGUACCUGAGGAGGAAGCCACGGCUAACUACGUGCCAGCCGCCGCGGUAAUAC
rnacentral:rRNA from 1 species